CUCGGUUCUGGAGGGGCUUUUGUGCUGAGAUGGGGAUCUCCUUGUCAUUUACGUCCCCCUAUCAUCCACAAUCUAAUGGAGCUGCCGAACGAGCAAAUCAAUCUGUAGAGUUAUAUUUACGCUGCUUCACGAAUGCGCACCAGGACAACUGGUCUCACCUCCUUCCCUGGGCUGAAUUCGCCAGAACACUGUGACUCAUUCGUCCACUGGCUUAAGUCCUUUUAUGGUUGCUUAUGGGUUCCAACCCUCUGUUCUUCCCGGCGUGUUCUCUGACAAGGUUGUGACGAGACCAAUCUCGCCACAUUGCAUUGGAGAAGCCUGGUUGCUCGCCUGUUGCCUUUGGAUUAUGGCCCCAUGUUAAAAGGCUUGAUUUUCCCCUGCAAAGACAUGAAAGCCGGGUCAUUUGGUGCUUGCCCUGUUUGAGCGGUGAUACCCCAGAUAGCUAUGCCAUGGAGCCUAUUCGUAUAAUGAAAGACUAUGGGAAAGACUUUGGCUCCAUGGCAAUUGAUCUGUAUGUGUGUGCUCUGAGCGCCAUUCAGUAAUAAUGUGUGCUCAGAUCUGAGCUAUCUGGGGAUAUGUUGAAUGUACCUGUUUUGUGCAAUGGCUGCCAUGUGUUCAGUGGAGUUUUGCCUCUGUCUUUGGAGAUAAUUGGAUUACUUCCCAAUUAUCUCCAGGAUAGUAAUCCAAUUAUCUCCAAAGACAACCAGGUACUGGUUUUGGGCAGAAAAAACAUGCUUCCUUUGGUCACAAAGGACUACGAUCUAUCUUUUGAACCAUUGGACCAAUUUGUAUGAAUUUGACAUAUGGAGUAUGCUGAUUCUGAAAAUGUAAGUUUUAUGUGAAUGUGAUGCAUACUUUUCAAGUUAUGAAUAAUGUGGAAAAAUUUAAUUUCUCUGCUUGUGAUAAUUACAUUACCCAUUGUGUAAGGUAAUUGAAUCACAGGCAGAGGGGAGGAAUUUGUGUGGGAGUGUGUGAGUGUAUUGUAUGUGUUUAUUGGUUGUGUUCCAAAACCCUGUGGGUGGUACUAAUGUGUACAUAAGCACAAUAAACCCACAGCUCUGACUGUUCACUGCUUGACCCUCAACACAGAGCUUUGUCUCGUUCUUGGGGGGAUUUAUUGUAUGCUGUUCCAGUUUGACUGCUAGGAGUGUAAACCUAUUCAUAUGGUUUUUCCUAUUCGGCUGUUUACAGCAUUCAUAUGGUUUCCUGUUCGACGGAUUGGUGUUCUGCAGUAGCUGUGCCUGUGUCUCUGGAAGGGAAGAUCUACUAAACGGCAGUUUAACCCUUUUAUGCUGAGGGUGCCGUUACAAAUGAAAUACCCGCUUUGGACGAGCACCUCACCUCUGUAUGGAAGAUAUGGGAUCAGGUCCAUGCUACUCUUUC